CAGCAGCCGCGGUAAUACGUAGGUGGCAAGCGUUGUCCGGAAUUAUUGGGCGUAAAGGGCUCGCAGGCGGGUUUCUUAAGUCUGAUGUGAAAGCCCCCGGCUCAACCUGGGGAGGGUCAUUGGAAACUGGGGAACUUGAGUGCAGAAGAGGAGAGUGGAAUUCCACGUGUAGCGGUGAAAUGCGUAGAGAUGUGGAGGAACACCUAGUGGCGAAGGCGACUCUCUGGUCUGUAACUGACGCUGAGGAGCGAAAGCGUGGGGAGCGAACAGGAUUAGAUACCCUGGUAGUCCACGCCGUAAACGAUGAGUGCUAAGUGUUAGGGGGUUUCCGCCCCUUAGUGCUGCAGCUAACGCAUUAAGCACUCCGCCUGGGGAGUACGGUCGCAAGACUGAAACUCAAAGGAAUUGAGGG
rnacentral:rRNA from 1 species